rnacentral:rRNA from 1 species
CCUACGGGAGGCAGCAGUGGGGAAUAUUGGACAAUGGGCGAAAGCCUGAUCCAGCAAUGCCGCGUGAGUGAUGAAGGCCUUAGGGUUGUAAAGCUCUUUUACCCGAGAUGAUAAUGACAGUAUCGGGAGAAUAAGCUCCGGCUAACUCCGUGCCAGCAGCCGCGGUAAUACGGAGGGAGCUAGCGUUGUUCGGAAUUACUGGGCGUAAAGCGCACGUAGGCGGCUUUUUAAGUCAGGGGUGAAAUCCCGGGGCUCAACCCCGGAACUGCCCUUGAAACUGGGAAGCUAGAAUCUUGGAGAGGCGAGUGGAAUUCCGAGUGUAGAGGUGAAAUUCGUAGAUAUUCGGAAGAACACCAGUGGCGAAGGCGACUCGCUGGACAAGUAUUGACGCUGAGGUGCGGAAGCGUGGGGAGCAAACAGGAUUAGAUACCCUGGUAGUCCACGCCGUAAACGAUGAUAACUAGCUGUCCGGGUUCAUGGAACUUGGGUGGCGCAGCUAACGCAUUAAGUUAUCCGCCUGGGGAGUACGGUCGCAAGAUUAAAACUCAAAUGAAUUGACGG